rnacentral:lncRNA from 1 species
AUGGGGCGGGGGAGGGGGUAAUCAAGGGCAGAAGACACAGCAUGUGAGGGACUCAGGGAUGAGAAUGAUCCCAGCAGCGACGGCUGUGGGAGGAAAUGAGAGAGGAAGAGGGGCAUCCAUGCAGCUGGAACAUAGACUUUGCGGAGGAGAGAUGCUCAAGGCUGAAAGUGCCAGAUUCCGAGGGCAGGGACUCCUGUAUCUCCAGCGUCAUCAGCAGAGUUCCAUGAUUCAGGUAGUGGAGCUAAAGAAGGACCAUGAAGACCAGCAGGUGAGGGCGCUGGCUGCAAUGAGAUGGAAAUCGGCUGCUUCUGGCUCCUGUACAGAUCCCAGCAGAAGCCCGUCCCAGCCGAUAAGGGCCUCCCACUGCAUCAGGGACCCCGGCGCCUUCUAACUUGUUCUGUCAUCCUAAAAGGCAACUCCCAGCCCAGGCUCCAGGUGGCAGUGCCAGCUCCCGCCACAGUGUUUGCAUGACAGAGCCCAAAUUCCAGAGCAUGUUUCUCAAAUGCGGGUGUCAGUGGAAGUACCUGGAAGCGACCAUAUCAUGAGACUCUGCUGCAACCAUUUUCAUUUUAUUUACUUAUCUGUGUAUUCAAUAAAUUAACUCUCAAGGAGGACUAGUUACUGUUAAAAUUCUGAGCAUGCCACUACUUCAGACGUCUGCGUUGUUGCUUCCUGGAACGUUCUUCAAGAUUUCAUAGGAUUUUCCUCCUCCCAACACACAGGGAAAACCCUCUUCUCCGUUCUCCACCAAUUUACCGUGACUUUUUCAUAGAACCUGUUUCUAUCUGAUGUUUCUAUUUGUUUGUUUAUCAGCCAUCUCACUUCCGAGAGUGUGACUCCGCGAGGACAGGACGGGCCUUUAACAAAGGUCAGUCAGCGCCUCCAUCACUUUUGUUAUUACUUCACACUGAGGAAGACAUUCCGGUGAGAGGAGGGGCAGAUUCUAAAUGUACAAGUAGGAGAAACAGAACCGGAUGAAGGGGAGGAAGAAAGGACCAGCCCUGAGGGAGGGGACAAUCUCAGC